rnacentral:rRNA from 1 species
UUGGUGGUAAACUCCAUCUAAGGCUAAAUAUGACCACGAGACCGAUAGCAAACAAGUACCAUGCGGGAAAGUUGAAAAGAACUUUGAAGAGAGAGUUCAAGAGUACGUGAAACCGUUCAGGGAUAAACUUGAGAAAGCCAAAAGAUCGAAUGGGGAGAUUCAUCGUCAGCGUUGGGUGCCGGCGGCCCGGUUGGUCGACUGUCGCGUCGCGUCUCACGACGCGCUCACGCAACAGACCACCGGUCGCCCGGCGGUAAUGAUCGCUAUUAAGUGGUAACGGGCCGCACCAAGUGCGUUCAGGCUCGUCGGCAGGCUCCUCUCGCUCGGAUUUACGGACCUCGUGCCGUUGCCGGGCGCUUGGGGGGCCGUUAGUCGACGAUGUCCUCGGACCGGCUCGCCUUUCACACAUUCGAACGGAUAUACCGGUCGGCGACGCUACUGCUUGGUAC